rnacentral:rRNA from 1 species
GACGAACGCUGGCGGCGUGCUUAACACAUGCAAGUCGAACGGAAAGGCCCUGCUUUUGUGGGGUGCUCGAGUGGCGAACGGGUGAGUAACACGUGAGUAACCUGCCCUUGACUUUGGGAUAACUUCAGGAAACUGGGGCUAAUACCGGAUAGGAGCUCCUGCUGCAUGGUGGGGGUUGGAAAGUUUCGGCGGUUGGGGAUGGACUCGCGGCUUAUCAGCUUGUUGGUGGGGUAGUUGCUUACCAAGGCUUUGACGGGUAGCCGGCCUGAGAGGGUGACCGGCCACAUUGGGACUGAGAUACGGCCCAGACUCCUACGGGAGGCAGCAGUGGGGAAUAUUGUACAAUGGGCGGAAGCCUGAUGAAGCAACGCCGCGUGCGGGAUGACGGCCUUCGGGUUGUAAACCGCUUUCGCCUGUGACGAAGCGUGAGUGACGGUAAUGGGUAAAGAAGCACCGGCUAACUACGUG